rnacentral:sRNA from 1 species
GCCGGGUGUGGUGGUGCACAUCUGUAAUCUCAGCAAUUUGGAAGGCUGAGACAGGAGGAUCAUCUGUUCAAAGCCAGCAACAUAUCGAUACCUUGUCUCAA